rnacentral:rRNA from 1 species
UCGCCUGUUUAUCAAAAACAUGGCCUUUUGAUUAAUAUAUUAUAAAAGGUCUGACCUGCCCGGUGGUUUAUCUAAACGGCUGCAGUGAAUAACUGUACAAAGGUAGCGUAGUCAGUUGUCCUUUAAAUGGGGAAAGGUAUGAAAGGUUUGACGAUAAAAAAGCUGUCUCUUAAGAAUAGUGUGAAGUUUCCGUUUAAGUGAAAAGGCUUGAAUUUUUGAAAAAGACGAGAAGACCCUGUUGAGCUUGAUUAUGUUUUUUUAUUUAAAGAAGUUGAAGUUUUAUUGGGGCAAUAAGAAGCUAAAAAGAAUGCUUCGUUUUAUGGUAAAGAUCCUUCAUGGAAGAAGUAAGCAAAAGCUACCACAGGGAUAACAGCGUUAUCUUUCUUAAGAGUUCUGAUUAAGGGAAAGGUUUGCGACCUCGAUGUUGGAUUAAGAUAUCUUUUUGGCGCAGCAGCUAAAAAAGUGAGACUGUUCGUCUUUUAAAAUUUUACGUGAUCUGAGUUCAGACCGGA